UAUUCCCUCAAAUAUUUUCCUAUAUUGUAUAAUUCUCAGUUAAUAGGUGCAAAAUCCAGUGCAAGUAGAAUAAGUUUUUUUUUUUUUAAGGUUUUGAGGCAAAUGAGAGCUAAAUGACUUGGCGAAGGACUCAAAAUGGCUGUGGACAGGAGUGAAACUCAGCCUGCAAUGCAGACUUCCUGACCUGUGGUCCAGGGACUUUCCCUCAAUACCCUGCUGUCAGCACGUGGCAGGAGGUCAUCUCCUCUCCAGAUUUUCCCUGCUCUGCAGCUAGUGUCACCUAUAUUCCAGAGGGCAGACAAGGGUCUGUAGAUGAAUGCUGAGCAGGCUUGUUCUGACUGAGUUCUCACCAGGGUGUGCUCCCUUUCAGCCAGGAGGAAGGCACAGCUAUAUGCAGGUGUAAAGAAAUGCAACUGAUUUCUGAGCAUUGAUUUAGAUACUAUCCUUAUAUCUGGUAAGACAUUUGCAAAUAUUUUCUCCC
rnacentral:lncRNA from 1 species